rnacentral:misc_RNA from 1 species
GCGCAAUCCUACAGGAAGCUCCCUGUUGGCAGCAACUUUGGAUAAUGCAAGCCCAAAACCUGGUUGAAGAGAUGCCUGAUUUAGCGAUGCUUCUGCAAAUGAGCGAACCUCCUGGUUAGGGUCGAGAGUGGCCGACAAGCAAUUGAUAAGCCAUUGUUGAUCCUGAUCAAUCACAUUCGCCAUCGUCGAGCGCCGAGCAAAGCCUUCGGAGUUUG